GGGGAUGUAGCACAGAUGGUAGAGCAUUUGCUUGGCAUGCGAGAGAUUUCGGGAUUGAUCCCCCAUGUCUCUA
rfam:Zostera marina strain Finnish scaffold_12, whole genome shotgun sequence.